UAUUAAUUACAAAAAAUACGAUGCAGAAAAAGGUUCGAAGUUAUUGAAAAUUGCAAUUAUCGUAACAAUAAUUGUUUUUGUUUUAAAUUUAUUAGCAUAUUUAGGUUUAAGAUAAGUAAAAUGAAUUUGAAGAAGCAUUAAG
rnacentral:snRNA from 1 species